ensembl:lncRNA
AGUUUUAGGUGACACCAGUAUUCUCUCUGUUCCACAGAACAUGGCUGCAGUGCUGGGCACUGCUGUGUCCCCAUGAGGUCACUGCUAAGAGCUGCACCCACUGCUGAGUGCACCCACUGCUGAACAUGAGAGGCACAGUACCACUGCAGCUAGAGACAAAGCAAAGAACUCAGAGCUACGUCAAACACUACAACACGUAACUGCUGAAAUCCAGUGCCUUUUUUAUUUCCUUCUUUGCUCCUGAGCUCCUGAAAUAUGUUUUUCACUGUCCCAUGGCAACUGUUUCUCCUAUUUGUGUUGAUAUGUGAGAACUGGGAUUUUGAGAAGCUAUUGUGAAGGAAAACUUCAAAAAAUCACACCGCUGGAAGACCGGGAGCAGAGAAGAGUUCAAAAGAAGGACAAAGAAUAGCAGCGUGCCUAUGGUGCGAGCUGUUGUAAAGGCAGUUGCUCGUAAAAGUUCCACAGCAGAGUGAACGUCUCAGUAUGCUUUAAAUGAAGUGGUUUUGCAGAUGUGAUCACAGCAAGGUGGCCUUCACUUCGCUGGGUACCACACAUGGGUCACAGUGGCUUACGUGAUUGUUCCUGAGUAUCUUGGCAAGUUGGGUCCUGCAGCCCUGGCCACACUUCACCCUGGGCAAGUGCUGCCUUCAUUCACUGGCAGAUCAUUCAAGGGAUCCUUUUUGCGAGUGACAGCUGAAAGGCAUUAAAUUGUACAGUAAAUCAUUUAACCGGAGCCUAGAAUGUGUGAACACCAAACCACCAACUUUGACAGGAGAAAAUCAGAAUUUAUUUUGUGCUUUGAACUGUUUUAGCAUUAAUGGCCCAGUUUAACCACAUAUAACAAGAGUAAUCUGUUCAGUUUUCAGCAAGGUCUUCCGCUGGAUAUUGUAUACCUCUGUGGUGGUUUCCUGCAACUAUGUGAGGUUUCUUACUUGGGAUUUUUGUUUUAAAAAUGAAUUUUUCACUCUUGAAAGGUGACAGAAUGCUAGCUGAGGAAGACAAAGUCUAUCCACACCACAGUUCAGCAAUAGAUCUCAUGCACUUCCCUCAGUCCCGUUGUGCAGGAAUACACAGGGUGAGAGAAUGAAGACAGUUUGGGAUGAACAGCAAGGAGCAAUGAUGCCCUUCGCAGUGAUCCUCAAAUUCUCUGCUCCUUGGGGAAUCCUUGUGGAAGGUCUGCUUUGCAUCUUCUGACUUUCAAAAAGUGGUUCCUAUUGACAGUUUUACCAAGAAAAAAGAAAAUAAAACAAAUCAAACCACAUUGGUAAGGGAAAUAACAGAACUUUUGACAAGAUGGUCUGUUCAAAACUCCUAGGUCACCCUGUUCAGAAAGUAUCCAGUCAGUUUGGCCCAGUAUAAAUACAGAAGUGAACUAAAACAGAAAGCCAUGUUCUGAAGUCAGAGGACCAGAGCAGGGAGAAAGGCAAAGGCUGAAGGAAGUGAGCGUGGCAGGCAGGAGGUGCUGCCAAGGGGGGACUUGCAGGGCACAUCCCCAGAGCUGUGACCAGACACCGCUGCAGGCAGGAGCAGCCAGCUGGCAGCAGGGCUGCACACAUGCACUGAUUUACCCUGGCGCUGAACUGCCCUGGGAAAAUGGGAAUUGGAGAGUUCAUUGGAGAGUUAAAGCCAGCAACAGCACUGUGCUCCAGUUAAGCCCAGCUUCUCGUUUGCACAGCCAUCAGAGAGAGAGCCUUGGUUUAUGAGGACAUCAGCGUGCUGCAGCCAGCCAGGACCUUGUCAGAGCUGAUGGCAUUGAUGCUGGAGCAUGUCUACCCUCUUUCCAGCUGGGCUGGUCUCCCCAACCUCCUGUGGCAUUCAGAAAUGUCCAGAGCUGUGCAGAGGUGUCAUUUUCCAUCCAGGGGAGGUGCUCACAGCCACCAACCACCUACCUUCCCCAUUGGCCUGGAUGAAUGCUGCAGCAGCACCGACCUGAGCACCCCGACGCGACUAUGCUGGACUCCCCAGCAAUCCCAGCCUCUUCACUGUCCUAUGUGUUUCUGUUGUGCAGUGCUUUUACUCUUGUUAUUUUCUUUUUGGCACGGAGGUUGAAUGCUGGUGGGGAGUUUGGCUUGUUGCUUUGGAGCAGAAGAAUAGAAUCAGAGCUAGGAAAGGCACUCCAGGUGCUGCCCACCGCAGAGCGGAAGGACAUGAGGAGCUUCUUGCGUAGUGGGUGGGUGAGCACCUUGGGUCCUGCAGGGCACUGCCAGAAACACAGGUGGUCUGCGAACUACAGAGGCUUAGAAAAUGUUUGGGGGUUGGAAUAGAAAGGUCCCCAAGGCGUGGCACUGAGCGUCUAGAGAGGGAUAUUUUUAGUUUCACUAUGUUAUGUUAUUACUGAAAAUUAACAAAAAGUCUUCUUCUUUAAUCUCUGCUAUGCCACUAACUGAGAAAGAGCCUGUAAGUGUUUUACUGUAUUGCUACGGACGCCGCUUCCAAAGGCACAGUGCCAGGCUGUGCGCUGGGCUCACCGCUCCAGGUUAGCAGGCCCACUGGGAAGUCAAACACAGCAGGGAGGAUGCAGUAGGAAAACAAGAUGAGACGGUCGAAGAUGAGAACAAUUUCCAAACACCAAACUGCGUUCGCAUUUCCUUUCCUCCCAAUUGCAGCUUUAAGGCAGCAGAAGGGGUUUUGUAUGGAGCAAUAGUGGCAUCUAGCGACCACAGCUAGAUCA